AGUGAACGCUGGCGGUAGGCCUAACACAUGCAAGUCGAACGGCAGCACAGUAAGAGCUUGCUCUUACGGGUGGCGAGUGGCGGACGGGUGCGGAAUACAUCGGAAUCUACUUUUUCGUGGGGGAUAACGUAGGGAAACUUACGCUAAUACCGCAUACGACCUACGGGUGAAAGCAGGGGAUCUUCGGACCUUGCGCGAUUGAAUGAGCCGAUGUCGGAUUAGCUAGUUGGCGGGGUAAAGGCCCACCAAGGCGACGAUCCGUAGCUGGUCUGAGAGGAUGAUCAGCCACACUGGAACUGAGACACGGUCCAGACUCCUACGGGAGGCAGCAGUGGGGAAUAUUGGACAAUGGGCGCAAGCCUGAUCCAGCCAUACCGCGUAGGUGAAGAAGGCCUUCGGGUUGUAAAGCCCUUUUGUUGGGAAAGAAAAGCAGCAGGUUAAUACCCCGCUGUUCUGACGGUACCCAAAGAAUAAGCACCGGCUAACUUCGUG
rnacentral:rRNA from 1 species